rnacentral:misc_RNA from 1 species
GAUGAAGAACGCAGCGAAAUGCGAUAAGUAAUGUGAAUUGCAGAAUUCAGUGAAUCAUCGAAUCUUUGAACGCACAUUGCGCCCGCCAGUAUUCUGGCGGGCAUGCCUGUUCGAGCGUCAUUUCAACCAUCAAGCCCCCGGGCUUGUGUUGGGGACCUGCGGCUGCCGCAGGCCCUGAAAAGCAGUGGCGGGCUCGCUGUCACACCGAGCGUAGUAGAUUUUAUCUCGCUCAGGGCGUGCUGCGGGUUCCGGCCGUUAAACCCCCUUCAUAACCCAAGGUUGACCUCGGAUCAGGUAGGAAGACCCGCUGAACUUAAGCAUAUCAAUAAGCGGAGGA